AGGAUUAGAUACCCCACUAUAUGAGCCCUAAAACUCCCCACCCACCGGAGAACUACGAACUAAAGUUUAAAACUCAAAGGACUUGGCGGUUUUCUAGACCUCCCUGGAGGAGCUUGCUAUUUAACCGAUAACCCCCGUUACACCUCACCGGUCUUUGAAAAUUCAGCCUGUAUACCAUCGUCGUCAGUCUACCCCACGAGGGAAGUCUACCAAAAGAGUUUACGCCCCAAAACGUCAGAUCGAGGUGCAGCUAAUAGACCUGGGAAUAAGUGAGCUACAAUAAUCUUCGCUUUUACGUCUAUACCGAUUCAUGGAUAGCCUCAUGAAAAUUGAGGAUUAAAAUAGGAUUCAGAAGUAACACUUAACAGAAAGUAAGUGCGAACAACCAAAGCUCUGGAAUGCGCACACACCGCCCGUCACUCUCGGAUCCCG
rnacentral:rRNA from 1 species